AGAGUUUGAUCCUGGCUCAGGAUGAACGCUAGCGGCAGGCUUAAUACAUGCAAGUCGAGGGGCAGCAGCUUUAUAGCGAUAUAGAGGCUGGCGACCGGCAAACGGGUGCGGAACACGUACACAACCUUCCUUUAAGAGGGGGAUAGCCCAUAGAAAUGUGGAUUAAUACCCCGUAAUAUUAUUGAAGUGGCAUCACUUUAUAAUUAUAGUUACGACGCUUGAAGAUGGGUGUGCGGCUGAUUAGGUAGUUGGCGGGGUAAAGGCCCACCAAGCCUUCGAUCAGUAGCUGAUGUGAGAGCAUGAUCAGCCACACGGGCACUGAGACACGGGCCCGACUCCUACGGGAGGCAGCAGUAAGGAAUAUUGGUCAAUGGACGCAAGUCUGAACCAGCCAUGCCGCGUGAAGGAUGAAGGUCCUCUGGAUUGUAAACUUCUUUUAUAGGGGGCGAAAAAAGGGAAUUCUUUCUCACUUGACAGUACCCUAUGAAUAAGCACCGGCUAACUCCGUGCCAGCAGCCGCGGUAAUACGGAGGGUGCAAGCGUUAUCCGGAUUCACUGGGUUUAAAGGGUGCGUAGGCGGGUAUAUAAGUCAGUGGUGAAAUCCUGGAGCUUAACUCCAGAACUGCCAUUGAUACUAUGGAUCUUGAAUAUGGUGGAGGUAAGCGGAAUAUGUCAUGUAGCGGUGAAAUGCAUAGAUAUGGCAUAGAACACCUAUUGCGAAGGCAGCUUACUACGCCUAUAUUGACGCUGAGGCACGAAAGCGUGGGGAUCAAACAGGAUUAGAUACCCUGGUAGUCCACGCCCUAAACGAUGAUUACUCGACGUAUGCGAUACACAGUAUGCGUCUGAGCGAAAGCGUUAAGUUAUCCACCUGGGGAGUACGCCGGCAACGGUGAAACUCAAAGGAAUUGACGGGGGCCCGCACAAGCGGAGGAACAUGUGGUUUAAUUCGAUGAUACGCGAGGAACCUUACCCGGGCUUGAACGUAGGGAGACAGUUCUGGAAACAGAAUCUCUAGCAAUAGCUGCCUACGAGGUGCUGCAUGGUUGUCGUCAGCUCGUGCCGUGAGGUGUCGGCUUAAGUGCCAUAACGAGCGCAACCCACAUCGAUAGUUACUAACAGGUAGUGCUGAGGACUCUAUCGAGACUGCCAGCGUAAGCUGUGAGGAAGGUGUGGAUGACGUCAAAUCAGCACGGCCCUUACGUCCGGGGCGACACACGUGUUACAAUGGGAGGUACAAAGGGCAGCUACCUGGCGACAGGAUGCUAAUCUCUAAAACCUUUCUCAGUUCGGAUUGGAGUCUGCAACUCGACUCCAUGAAGCUGGAUUCGCUAGUAAUCGCGCAUCAGCCAUGGCGCGGUGAAUACGUUCCCGGGCCUUGUACACACCGCCCGUCAAGCCAUGGAAGCUGGGGGUACCUGAAGUAUGCAACCGCAAGGAGCGUCCUAGGGUAAAACCGGUAACUGGGGCUAAGUCGUAACAAGGUAAAC
rnacentral:rRNA from 1 species